rnacentral:rRNA from 1 species
AGUAACGGCGAGUGAAGCGGCAACAGCUCAAAUUUGAAAUCUGGCCUCUCGGGGUCCGAGUUGUAAUUUGUAGAGGAUGUUUUGGGUACCGCCCCGGUCUAAAUUUCUUGGAACAGAAUGUCAGAGAGGGUGAGAAU